rnacentral:misc_RNA from 1 species
UCUCCGUAGGUGAACCUGCGGAGGGAUCAUUACUGAGUGAGGGCUUCGGUCCGACCUCCAACCCUUUGUGAACCAAACUUGUUGCUUCGGGGGCGACCCUGCCGCUUCGGCGGUGCGGCGCCCCCGGAGGCCAUUAAACACUGCAUCAUUGCGUCGGAGUUAAAGUAAAUUACACAAAACUUUCCACAGCGGCUCUCUUGGUUCUGGCAUCGAUGAAGAACGCAGC